AACAGGUACACAUUACAGACUUGCAAUGUCCCACGCUGACAAUACACUUCAAACCUAGGUUUUAUUUCGGAGACACAAAAUAUGAUCAGCAGGAGGACACUAGCAUUCCAUCUCUCGGACAUCCUCAACUUGCAGCCAUAUAUUUUAGUUGACUGGCAUGCAAUCUGCCGAGGCUGCACCUGCUUCCGUCACCUGAUUGUACAUUGACUUGAUAUUUCAGGUGCAUAUUGGAGUUUUCAAUGCUACACUAUGGCAUGAUAACUGUAUAAUAAACAUGUUGAUUUGAAGAGACCGAAAAAUCUAAGAUCGGAAAGAGGUGAGCUCAGAUUUUAUUGGUUAGAUAUGUUAGCGGGGUUUAAUAAGUUUUUGUUGAUCUUAAUAACUUGGUUCUAUUGACAUGUCAAAUUAAAAUCAAUUGCAUUGUUGUUAUUCAUAUGGAAUCCAUGGAUGGUACAAUAUGUGUGUGCAUAAUAACAAGAUAUUUUUGUUCCUAUUUUUUGUUCCGGUUCUUGCAUAUUUCUUAGAUGAUUGUUUAUGACCAGCUCUACUGUGGGGGAUAUAUUUAGUUUCAGUGUUGCACUUUAUAUUGACAUUCAGGUUUAGCCAUUAAAAUAAAGUGCUUAGUGCUCCAAUGCAAGACUUGGAUUCCUCGAGAACGUGUCCUUAAUUUUAGAGUUGAAUGCUAUGCAAGAAUAGAAGAUUCAACCUGUUACAUGAUACAUUUCGUAAUGUUCUGUGUUCAUUUUUUUACUAUGUUUUCAUGAAUGUGAUCUAGAGAAAAUGUAAGACAUAUCAGUCAUCAUCCUAGCAUAUUAGUUCCUAAUUCAUAAAAAUAUGCUAUACAUAAUAUGUAGCAUCACAUUAUAAUUCAAAUUGUUCAAAUUUUAUCAAAUGUCUCUAUUUCUUAGCUUUUUCAAACAUUAUUUCCUGAACAUGGACGGGUGCAAAAUGUUGCUAACUAAAACUGUUAUGAUUUUGUGAGGAUCACUCUUGCAUUCCAUUACCCUGAUAUGCUUGGUAAAUCACCACCACGCAACUUUGGUACAAACUGUGGAAGAUGGUGAAACCAAAUAUAGUGGUUGCCAUCCCCUAACAGAGUGCCUCAUACAACAAGUUUGUGAGCUACAAUGUUAUGGGAUCUUGGACACAUAUUAACUAUUACACUGUCAAAAGCAACACUCAGAUUAGAUGUCAUUCCACUAAAGAGGACACCCAGAGA